rnacentral:rRNA from 1 species
CCUACGGGUGGCAGCAGUGAGGAAUAUUGGUCAAUGGCCGUAAGUCUGAACCAGCCAAGUAGCGUGAGGGAUGACUGCCCUAUGGGUUGUAAACUUCUUUUAUAUGGGAAUAAAGUGUUCCACGUGUGCCUUUUUGUAUGUACCUUAUGAAUAAGGAUCGGCUAACUCCGUGCCAGCAGCCGCGGUAAUACGGAGGAUCCGAGCGUUAUCCGGAUUUAUUGGGUUUAAAGGGAGCGUAGGUGGGUUGUUAAGUCAGUUGUGAAAGUUUGCGGCUCAACCGUAAAAUUGCAGUUGAAACUGGCAGCCUUGAGUACAGUAGAGGUAGGCGGAAUUCGUGGUGUAGCGGUGAAAUGCUUAGAUAUCACGAAGAACUCCGAUUGCGAAGGCAGCUUACUGGACUGCAACUGACAUUGAUGCUCGAAAGUGUGGGUAUCAAACAGGAUUAGAUACCCUUGUAGUC